GCGGCCAUCGCGAUCGAUUGGUCCAAGUUUCGGACUUCCAACGCAGCGACGUUGAAACGGUUGACGUAAGCCCGGAUGGAUUCCCCCUCCCUUUGCUUGAUGUUGAUGAGGGACUCCGAACCUCUUCGGGGACGCCGGCUGCUAACAAAAUGAGCCGCAAACUGGUGGCUCAUCCGGUCAAAGGAAAAGAUGGUGCCCGGCUUUAACGCCGAGUACCAAUUCCUUGCUGCUCCCUUCAGAGUGGAUGGGAAAGCUCAGCACAGAAUGGCGUCUGGCGCACCAUGGAGCAGCAUCAUUGUCCGGAAGGUCUCCAGGUGGUCAACCGGGUCCGAGGCCCCGUCGUAGCUUUCGAAUUGGGAGAGCUUGAAGUUUGGCGAGA
rnacentral:lncRNA from 1 species